AGGAGAGGAGAGAUCCCGGAGGCAUCCAGGAAAAGAAAUGGCACCUUCCAGGAUCGAAGCAGUUGUCCAGCCUUCCUCUGCCAGAUCUACCCUGGAAAUUGCUGUCUAACUUCUCAAAAGUGUGCAUAAGAACAGCCCUUUCUCAUCUCCUUCUGUGAUGAAAGUAUAUUAAAAAAUUGCAAUCCCCACCCACUUUUUCUCUACAGAACAUGAAGUAAGAAAGCAGAAACAGAAGAUAUCAAACAAAUUAGUCAGUGUUACCAAUCCUCUAUGGCCAGAGCUGGACAUGGGUUUAUAAUUCUUUAUCUGUACUUCCAAAAUCCAAAAAUCUCUGAAAAAGUAAAAAGUGUUUUUAUGGCUAAUUUGGCAGCAAAACCUGACUAAACCUGAACUCAUGUGGUCACAACACCUGACCCAAGCUGGCAGGUGGCUUUUUAUAAUCUACAUUUCACUUAUACCACUAUAUCUCACUUAUACCAUUAUAUAUCACUAAUAUAGCAAAUAUGCACUUUUAAAAUGUUAUUGCCUGUUAAAAUGUUUCCCUUAAAAUGUAUUUUGAGAGAAUUAUAGAUUCACAUGUGGUUGUAAGAAAUGACCAGAGAUAUAGUAUACUCUUCACCCAAUUUCCUCCAUUGGUAACAUUUGCAAACUGUAGUACAAUAUCACAACCAGGAAACUGACAUUGGUAAAAUUCAUGGACUUUAUUUGGACUUCACCAGUUUUACAUACACUCACUUUAUGUGUGUGUGUCUGUGUGUAUUAAAAUUCUGUGCAAUUUUGUCACAUGUAAACUUGUGUGACCACCACCAUCAAGAUGCAGAACAGUUUUCAUCACAAGGAUCCCUUGUGUUACCCUGUCGUAGUCACAGCCACCACCUUCACUGCCUCUCUUCCUGAUCCCUGACAACCAUUAAUCUGUUCUCUAACACUUGGUAUUUCAACAAUACUGAAUAAAUGGAAUCAUACAUUAUGAAA